AAAAUCCUACCAAAAAAAACAGUUGAUUAAAUUUGAAUAAUACAUAAAUUGAAAGAAAUUGUCAUCUGCUACAAAAUUUCCACACAAACAGAAAAAGAGACUUC